UUGCUCUUAUGAGUUAGUGGCGCACGGGUGAGUAAUGUAUAGCUAAUCUGCCCUACACUAGAGGACAACAGUUGGAAACGACUGCUAAUACUCUAUACUCCUCUCUAGCAUAAGUUAGAUAGGGAAAGUUUUUCGGUGUAGGAUGAGGCUAUAUUGUAUCAGCUAGUUGGUGAGGUAAUGGCUCACCAAGGCUAUGACGCAUAACUGGUCUGAGAGGAUGAUCAGUCACACUGGAACUGAGACACGGUCCAGACUCCUACGGGAGGCAGCAGUAGGGAAUAUUGCUCAAUGGGGGAAACCCUGAAGCAGCAACGCCGCGUGGAGGAUGACACUUUUCGGAGCGUAAACUCCUUUUGUUAGGGAAGAACAAUGACGGUACCUAACGAAUAAGCACCGGCUAACUCCGUGCCAGCAGCCGCGGUAAUACGGAGGGUGCAAGCGUUACUCGGAAUCACUGGGCGUAAAGGACGCGUAGGCGGAUUAUCAAGUCUCUUGUGAAAUCCUAUGGCUUAACCAUAGAACUGCUUGGGAAACUGAUAAUCUAGAGUGAGGGAGAGGCAGAUGGAAUUGGUGGUGUAGGGGUAAAAUCCGUAGAGAUCACCAGGAAUACCCAUUG
rnacentral:rRNA from 1 species